AAAUUGAAGAGUUUGAUCAUGGCUCAGAUUGAACGCUGGCGGCAGGCCUAACACAUGCAAGUCGAACGGUAGCACAGAGAGCUUGCUCUCGGGUGACGAGUGGCGGACGGGUGAGUAAUGUCUGGGAAACUGCCUGAUGGAGGGGGAUAACUACUGGAAACGGUAGCUAAUACCGCAUAACGUCGCAAGACCAAAGAGGGGGACCUUCGGGCCUCUUGCCAUCAGAUGUGCCCAGAUGGGAUUAGCUAGUAGGUGGGGUAACGGCUCACCUAGGCGACGAUCCCUAGCUGGUCUGAGAGGAUGACCAGCCACACUGGAACUGAGACACGGUCCAGACUCCUACGGGAGGCAGCAGUGGGGAAUAUUGCACAAUGGGCGCAAGCCUGAUGCAGCCAUGCCGCGUGUAUGAAGAAGGCCUUCGGGUUGUAAAGUACUUUCAGCGGGGAGGAAGGUGUUGUGGUUAAUAACCGCAGCAAUUGACGUUACCCGCAGAAGAAGCACCGGCUAACUCCGUGCCAGCAGCCGCGGUAAUACGGAGGGUGCAAGCGUUAAUCGGAAUUACUGGGCGUAAAGCGCACGCAGGCGGUCUGUCAAGUCGGAUGUGAAAUCCCCGGGCUCAACCUGGGAACUGCAUUCGAAACUGGCAGGCUAGAGUCUUGUAGAGGGGGGUAGAAUUCCAGGUGUAGCGGUGAAAUGCGUAGAGAUCUGGAGGAAUACCGGUGGCGAAGGCGGCCCCCUGGACAAAGACUGACGCUCAGGUGCGAAAGCGUGGGGAGCAAACAGGAUUAGAUACCCUGGUAGUCCACGCCGUAAACGAUGUCGACUUGGAGGUUGUUCCCUUGAGGAGUGGCUUCCGGAGCUAACGCGUUAAGUCGACCGCCUGGGGAGUACGGCCGCAAGGUUAAAACUCAAAUGAAUUGACGGGGGCCCGCACAAGCGGUGGAGCAUGUGGUUUAAUUCGAUGCAACGCGAAGAACCUUACCUACUCUUGACAUCCAGAGAACUUUCCAGAGAUGGAUUGGUGCCUUCGGGAACUCUGAGACAGGUGCUGCAUGGCUGUCGUCAGCUCGUGUUGUGAAAUGUUGGGUUAAGUCCCGCAACGAGCGCAACCCUUAUCCUUUGUUGCCAGCGGCUAGGCCGGGAACUCAAAGGAGACUGCCAGUGAUAAACUGGAGGAAGGUGGGGAUGACGUCAAGUCAUCAUGGCCCUUACGAGUAGGGCUACACACGUGCUACAAUGGCGCAUACAAAGAGAAGCGACCUCGCGAGAGCAAGCGGACCUCAUAAAGUGCGUCGUAGUCCGGAUUGGAGUCUGCAACUCGACUCCAUGAAGUCGGAAUCGCUAGUAAUCGUAGAUCAGAAUGCUACGGUGAAUACGUUCCCGGGCCUUGUACACACCGCCCGUCACACCAUGGGAGUGGGUUGCAAAAGAAGUAGGUAGCUUAACCUUCGGGAGGGCGCUUACCACUUUGUGAUUCAUGACUGGGGUGAAGUCGUAACAAGGUAACCGUAGGGGAACCUGCGGUUGGAUCACCUCCUUACCUUAAAGAA
rnacentral:rRNA from 1 species